CCAGUAUCUCUGCACUGCCGUGCAGUGCUAUUGUGUCCCACAUUCAACAACUCAACUUUUUAAGUAAAAUAUGGCAUUGCAUUACAUAUUCCCAUCAUUUUUUGUUUGAUUCCAUUUAAAAAUAAAUUAAAAAUUCGAUUUUACCCUGAAGUAAACGUACGGUGGCACGCCUAAUUUUUCAGCAAACCUUCCUUUCACUAUUAUAGAUUCAUAUCAAAAAACUAAAUAACAAAAUAUUUUUUUCGUUUGGAAGUUAUUAAUUAAUGUGGGCUGGGUUUUGCCAAUUGCGAUCCCUAGACAAAACACCAAAACGAGCAAGGGCGAAUUCGCGUCACUGCGAAUUCCAAACAAGAGAGCAAACGCAAAGAGAAGACGAAGGAGAGCGAGAUGAGAGCGAGAGCGGACAACCGAUCGGCGAGAGAGCGCCGAGGGGGAGUUUCUAUCCAACCUCCGACGUAAAAGGUUGUGUGCGAGACCAGACGACGAACGAAGCAGAUAUCUAAUUCUUGUACCGUUAUACCAUCCUUAAUCACUUAUUAACCUUUACUUAUAAACAAUAAACAUAAACCCCCACAUUUUUGGAGGCUCGUCCCGUGGAUUGAAGUAAGAUUUAAAGAAGGCCCCACAUUUUUUGAGGCUCGUACGUGUGUGAAGGAACAUCGUGUGAAGAAUAAGUGAAAAACUAUAAGUAACUGUACGACGACGACGGCCCACGUUCUUUGCAAUAAAGACUUUUGCUGCGCCUAUAAUUGUUCAAAUUUUUUCGUGAGUAAUCUAAAUAGACGAUUUUUUUUUUAUCUCAGCAAAAUGACGUGUUUAAACGAGUUAAUUCCGAAAAGCCUACGAGGAGCAACGAAAUCCAGCAUUUGUGCAUUACACAAAUUUGUGUAUGAGAGAGAAGGAGACAGAUGUAACCGAGGCCGGCUGCGCGAAUUUAGGGAUUCGAAUACGACGAAAACGACGCCAGAUUUUUAGCGAAGCGCACAUACAUACAAGCGGAGCUGACGGACCGUGAUCUUGUUUCAGUAUGUGUGAUAUUGAGUAUAAAUCACAAUGCAGAAAAUAUGAUGCUACACAUAUUUCGCAAUCUGAUGAAAGGCAAGCUGUUGACAAGCAACAACAACGACGACGAAAACGACGAAGACGACGACAAUGAUGAAGAGAAUGAUGAAGACGCAAACGAUGAAGACGAAAACGAAGAUCAAGAGAACGACGUGUUUCGCAGUGUUUGCGAGAUACGCACGUGUGAGGGAGACAACUAUAGAAACAUGCACACAAGACGACAAGAAAAUAGACGCCGAAGCAACGUACAAAGGGAAAACUACGAUGAGCAGGUCGCACCCCGAUUUGCUAUAAGUUUUCGCGAUAUUGAGGAGUCUAUCCGAAUGUUUGACGGCUCUGACCAGAUAGCUGUCGAAGAAUGGAUAGCAGAGUUUGAAGAGCAGGCUGAGUUCAUGCGUUGGACUAAUUUACAGAAACUUAUUUUUGCGAAGAAGUCUUUGAAAGGCAUUGCCAAAUUAUUUGUUUUAAGCGAAAAACAUUUGAACUCAUGGGAAACAUUGAAGUUUGCGCUGUUGAAUGAGUUUCAGUCGAAGGUAAAUAGCAAACAGAUACACAUGCAACUCAACGAGAGUAAACGACGACCGAAAGAGAAUGUNGAUUCGAAUACGACGAAAACGACGCCAGAUUUUUAGCGAAGCGCACAUACAUACAAGCGGAGCUGACGGACCGUGAUCUUGUUUCAGUAUGUGUGAUAUUGAGUAUAAAUCACAAUGCAGAAAAUAUGAUGCUACACAUAUUUCGCAAUCUGAUGAAAGGCAAGCUGUUGACAAGCAACAACAACGACGACGAAAACGACGAAGACGACGACAAUGAUGAAGAGAAUGAUGAAGACGCAAACGAUGAAGACGAAAACGAAGAUCAAGAGAACGACGUGUUUCGCAGUGUUUGCGAGAUACGCACGUGUGAGGGAGACAACUAUAGAAACAUGCACACAAGACGACAAGAAAAUAGACGCCGAAGCAACGUACAAAGGGAAAACUACGAUGAGCAGGUCGCACCCCGAUUUGCUAUAAGUUUUCGCGAUAUUGAGGAGUCUAUCCGAAUGUUUGACGGCUCUGACCAGAUAGCUGUCGAAGAAUGGAUAGCAGAGUUUGAAGAGCAGGCUGAGUUCAUGCGUUGGACUAAUUUACAGAAACUUAUUUUUGCGAAGAAGUCUUUGAAAGGCAUUGCCAAAUUAUUUGUUUUAAGCGAAAAACAUUUGAACUCAUGGGAAACAUUGAAGUUUGCGCUGUUGAAUGAGUUUCAGUCGAAGGUAAAUAGCAAACAGAUACACAUGCAACUCAACGAGAGUAAACGACGACCGAAAGAGAAUGUUCUGGAAUAUUUUUAUCGCAUGAGAGAUAUUGCUGCAAGAGGAAAUGUCGAAGACGACGCACUUAUACAAUACGUGAUUGACGGUGUCGACGAGAUGGCAUUAAAUAAAUCUAUUUUAUAUGGUGCGAAAAAGAUGUCUGAUUUUAAGGACAAAUUAAAAGAUAAUGAGAAAAUAAACGAGAAAAUAAAAAAGAGUGAGAAGACGGGAAGAGAUAAGAAGAUGUCGGUUGGACAAAAUUAUACCCAGACUGGCAAAAAAGACGUCGUGUCUUACAACUGCGGAGAGAAGGGUCAUGUGUCUAGCAGUUGCUCGAGCAAAGAGAAGGGAAAAAAGUGCUUCAAGUGCAAUCAGUUUGGGCACAUUUCAAAGAAUUGCAAGGAGAAAAGUGAGAAGGCAAACGAAGAAAAACAAAACUUGCGUGUAAUUUUGAAUAGAGCGGAAUUGACAUCCAAAGAAGUUUCGAUUAAAAAUAUGAAAUGUAUGGCACUAUUUGACACUGGCAGUAAAUUCAAUAUUUUGCGCGAAGACUUUUACGACGAACUGUGUAUGCCAAAAUUAAAGAACUGCAGAGUGCGCUUGGUCGGUUUCGGAAGUGAAAGCAAGGCUGACAAUAUCAAGCCGACUGGUCAAGUAGAACCUAGUAUACGUAUUGACGACGAAGAAUAUGUUUUGACAUUUUAUGUUGUUGCUGCUAAGUUCAUGAAUAUUAAGUUGAUAAUCGGGGAAGAGCUUUGUUUGCACGCAGAAGUAUCAUUUAAUCGCCAUGGAGUAAAAGUUAAUAAAAUGCCAAAUGAAAAUAACGAAGGUGCGUAUGACGAAUCGUCCAUAAUGAAAAUCGACGUAGCGGUGGACAAUUCUGAACUGAACAUAAACGAAGCGAUAAACGAGAUUACACGAAAAGAAGUUCGCGAGAUAGUAACGACGUAUAAACCGGAAAAAUCAAAAACAACAAACAUUGAAAUGAAAAUAAUUCUUAAAGACGAAACGCCAAUUUUCUCGCGGCCGCGGCGGUUUGCUAUGACUGAAACACGUAUCAUAGAAGACCAGGUUGAUGAAUGGCUGCAGAAUGAGGUAAUUGAAGAAUCAGAAUCCGAGUUCACGAGUCCGGUUGUACUAGUAAAAAAGAAUGACGGCAAGCAACGUCUAUGUAUUGACUUCAGACGCAUCAAUAAAGUCAUCGAAAAAGAUCAUUUCCCAUUGCCGUUGAUAGAUGACCAGCUAGAUCGUUUGCAGGACGCUGUAGUAUUCAGUACGAUUGACUUGAAAAAUGGGGUUUUCCAUGUUCCUGUGGCCGAAGAGAGUAGGAAGUACACCUCAUUUGUGACGCAAAGCGGACAAUACCAGUUUCGCAAGGUCCCAUUUGGUUUGUCGAAUUCCCCAGGAGUAUUCCAAAGACAUAUUGGCGCAAUAUUUCGAUCACUGACUAGAAAAGGUAUAGCACUACCAUAUGUUGACGACGUAAUUAUCCCAGCCAAAGACGAGCUAGAAGCCCUAGCAAACCUGAAAGAAGUUCUCAAGACGUGCGAAGAAUAUGGGCUAGAGCUGAAUUUUAAAAAGUGUCAUUUUUUACAAACACGAAUCCAGUUUCUUGGCCAUAUUAUCGAGAACAAGAAACUAUAUCCGACACCAUUGAAGAUUGAAGCCGUUUCGAAGUUCAAGACGCCGCAGACCCUGAAACAGCUUCAGAGUUUUUUGGGUCUUGCAGGAUACUUUAGAAAGUUUAUCUACAAUUACGCGGUGAUAGCCAAACCAUUGACUGACCUAACGAAGAACAAUGCUAAGUUUGUAAUUGGCCCAGACGNAAAAAGAAUGACGGCAAGCAACGUCUAUGUAUUGACUUCAGACGCAUCAAUAAAGUCAUCGAAAAAGAUCAUUUCCCAUUGCCGUUGAUAGAUGACCAGCUAGAUCGUUUGCAGGACGCUGUAGUAUUCAGUACGAUUGACUUGAAAAAUGGGUUUUUCCAUGUUCCUGUGGCCGAAGAGAGUAGGAAGUACACCUCAUUUGUGACGCAAAGCGGACAAUACCAGUUUCGCAAGGUCCCAUUUGGUUUGUCGAAUUCCCCAGGAGUAUUCCAAAGACAUAUUGGCGCAAUAUUUCGAUCACUGACUAGAAAAGGUAUAGCACUACCAUAUGUUGACGACGUAAUUAUCCCAGCCAAAGACGAGCUAGAAGCCCUAGCAAACCUGAAAGAAGUUCUCAAGACGUGCGAAGAAUAUGGGCUAGAGCUGAAUUUUAAAAAGUGUCAUUUUUUACAAACACGAAUCCAGUUUCUUGGCCAUAUUAUCGAGAACAAGAAACUAUAUCCGACACCAUUGAAGAUUGAAGCCGUUUCGAAUUUCAAGACGCCGCAGACCCUGAAACAGCUUCAGAGUUGUUUGGGUCUUGCAGGAUACUUUAGAAAGUUUAUCUACAAUUACGCGGUGAUAGCCAAACCAUUGACUGACCUAACGAAGAACAAUGCUAAGUUUGUAAUUGGCCCAGACGAAGAGAACGCUAUUGGAGUGUUGAAGAAAUGUUUGACAUCAAUCCCAGUGCUUGCCAUUUACAAUCAGCAGUACGAGACAGAUACGGAUGCAUCUAUAGAUGGAUUUGGAGCCGUGCUUAUGCAAAAAUCACCAGACGAUGGGCACUUACAUCCAGUGUAUUACAUGAGUAAGAAGACGACAGAUGCACAACGAAAAUACACGAGCAUUGACGAAGUUUCGAGUUUAUCUUUUGGGUAUUCCAUUUAAGAUUAUAACGGACUGCAACGCGUUCACCAAAACACUAUAGAAGCAGAAUCUGUGUACAAGGGUGGCAAGAUGGAUAAUGCUUUUGCAGGAGUACAACUACGAAGUCGAGCAUCGCGCAGGAUCCCGAAUGCGCCAUGUAGACGCACUUUCACGAUAUCCCUUUAUGUCCAUAAACGACGGAAGCAUUUUAGUUGGCAUAGAACAGGCGCAAAAACGAGACGAACACUUGAAGACGAUCAUGAAACUUAUCAACGACGACAGCCAACCAUACGAAGACUACUUUAUAAAGUCAGGAAUCCUCUAUAAAUUAGUCAAAGAUGUGGAACUGAUGGUGAUUCCAAAGGAU
rnacentral:lncRNA from 1 species